CGGGGAGUGUUAUAGCCGGAGGUGCAAUGCAGCCCGCCUGGACCGAGGACCGCGCUUCGGCUAGGAUGCUGGCGUAAUGGUUGUAAGCGACCCGUCUUGAAACACGGACCAAGGAGUCUAACAUCUAUGCGAGUGUUUGGGUGUCAAACCCAUGCGCGGAAUGAAAGUGAACGGAGGUGGGAACCCUUUGGGGCGCACCAUCGACCGAUCCAGAUGUCUUCGGAUGGAUUUGAGUAAGAGCAUAGCUGUUGGGACCCGAAAGAUGGUGAACUAUGCCUGAAUAGGGUGAAGCCAGAGGAAACUCUGGUGGAGGCUCGCAGCGGUUCUGACGUGCAAAUCGAUCGUCAAAUUUGGGUAUAGGGGCGAAAGACUAAUCGAACCAUUGUUGGACCGCGCGUUGAAGACAGUCUAGUUAUAUGAAUGUCUUUUUUGCAGCUAGGUGGUUAAUUGAAAUAUGUGUAUUUCCAGCCCUCACAGAGAGGGGGCAACACCGUUACUUGCGUGAACGCUUCCAUCAGAAGCAGACAUGCAGCAGCUGAAAAGCUGUGCACAGACCAAACAACGGUGGUCGGUACCUGACGGUGCCGUCGAUAUGGCCGAGCCCAUCUCAGCAAUGAGAUGGCCCCAAAACUUGUC
rnacentral:rRNA from 1 species